UUAAUAUUUGUCGGAGCGGACAUUAGAAUUAGGGUUAGGGGCGUGAAACGAAUCUUCGUUUGGGUUACACGUUGUCGUUAUGCAAUAGAGAAGACAUUGACUAGUGCAAAUACGAUUAUUAUAGAACCGGACAAGUAACCGCGGUAGUUAGGUACUCGAGAAACUAAUGACAAUGAUCCUAGGUUCAAUAACGAAUCCGCGGUCGACGGGAUGAUAGAUGAACGUACUCACAAAAUCUAAGUCGGACGCGUAAUAUUCACUCGUUGUAAAGGGUUACUCCUUUCAUCAAUGAGAUCGCGAGCGAGAAUGCCUUUCCCGUCCCGAUGAUGCCACAGAGGAAAACUAUAAUGGGGUGUGUCUAAGGAUACGAGAUCAUCGGAUUCGUCGAGAAAAGCCUUCGUUCAGAAAGCAAGGGAAAUUGGCGUUGCUGCUAAUUGGUCAAUCUCCAUAUCGGUGGUUAGAAAAAGAUGCUAGCCGCCCUCGAGGGAAAGUUGCUAGUGGGAGACGCCGCUCGUUAAAAAAUAAGUCUCCCCUAUUUUCCCGUAGUUGGGACAAAGGCUGUUUGUCUGUUUGAAGGACUUUAGUUGACUAAAUCUUAAGAUUUAUAACGGGUCCUCGAGCUAGCCGAACAUGUACUGCGGAGACGCAUCGACAUCUGGCAAUCAUCUUACUCGAAGAAUAGGGUCUGCGUGUGGCGAGCUACGGGACAGAAACCGUUGGAAUGUUUACUGUCGCGUGUCGCCACGAAUAUUUCUUUUAAGGAGAGCUAUAGAAUUACUCCAUACUUUUGUUAGACAAAGCGUUCAUCCCAUGACCGCGGCUACGUUCGGCGACUGACUGUCGCCUCGAGCCCAAGCUCAUUAUCACAACUCUCGAACAAUUACAAUCGGAUUGAAUAACUACAAUUGUU